AACCUGCCUGUAAGACUGGGAUAACUCCGGGAAACCGGAGCUAAUACCGGAUAGUUCCUUGAACCGCAUGGUUCAAGGAUGAAAGACGGUUUCGGCUGUCACUUACAGAUGGACCCGCGGCGCAUUAGCUAGUUGGUGGGGUAAUGGCUCACCAAGGCGACGAUGCGUAGCCGACCUGAGAGGGUGAUCGGCCACACUGGGACUGAGACACGGCCCAGACUCCUACGGGAGGCAGCAGUAGGGAAUCUUCCGCAAUGGACGAAAGUCUGACGGAGCAACGCCGCGUGAGUGAUGAAGGUUUUCGGAUCGUAAAGCUCUGUUGUUAGGGAAGAACAAGUGCGAGAGUAACUGCUCGCACCUUGACGGUACCUAACCAGAAAGCCACGGCUAACUACGUGCCAGCAGCCGCGGUAAUACGUAGGUGGCAAGCGUUGUCCGGAAUUAUUGGGCGUAAAGGGCUCGCAGGCGGUUUCUUAAGUCUGAUGUGAAAGCCCCCGGCUCAACCGGGGAGGGUCAUUGGAAACUGGGAAACUUGAGUGCAGAAGAGGAGAGUGGAAUUCCACGUGUAGCGGUGAAAUGCGUAGAGAUGUGGAGGAACACCAGUGGCGAAGGC
rnacentral:rRNA from 2 species